rnacentral:rRNA from 1 species
UACGAAGGGGGCUAGCGUUGUUCGGAUUUACUGGGCGUAAAGCGCACGUAGGCGGAUCGUUAAGUCGGGGGUGAAAUCCUGGAGCUCAACUCCAGAACUGCCUUUGAUACUGAAGAUCUUGAGUCCGGGAGAGGUGAGUGGAACUGCGAGUGUAGAGGUGAAAUUCGUAGAUAUUCGCAAGAACACCAGUGGCGAAGGCGGCUCACUGGCCCGGUACUGACGCUGAGGUGCGAAAGCGUGGGGAGCAAACAGG